GACGAACCGUGCGAACGUUGUUCGGAUUCACUGGGCUUAAAGGGCGCGUAGGCGGGUGACCAAGUCAGGGGUGAAAUCUUUCGGCCCAACCGGAAAAGUGCCUUUGAUACUGGUCGCCUCGAGGGAGGUAGGGGCAUGUGGAACUUCCGGUGGAGCGGUGAAAUGCGUAGAUAUCGGAAGGAACGCCGGUGGCGAAAGCGACGUGCUGGACCUUUUCUGACGCUGAGGCGCGAAAGCCAGGGGAGCGAACGGG
rnacentral:rRNA from 1 species